rnacentral:rRNA from 1 species
GACCGCGAGGUAGAGCAAAUCUCAAAAAAACAAUCUCAGUUCAGACUGCAGGCUGCAACUCGCCUGCACGAAGUCGGAAUUGCUAGUAAUCGUAGGUCAGCAUACUACGGUGAAUACGUUCCCGGGCCUUGUACACACCGCCCGUCAAACCAUGAGAGUUGGCAACACCCGAAGUCGGUAGUCUAACCGCAAGGAGGACGCCGCCGAAGGUGGGGUUGAUGAUUAGGGUUAAGUCGUAACAAGGUAUC